rnacentral:rRNA from 1 species
UACGUAGGGGGCAAGCGUUGUCCGGAUUUAUUGGGCGUAAAAGGCUUGUAGGUGGCCACGCCAAGUCGGAUGUGAAAUCUCCCGGCUCAACUGGGAGGGGUCAUUCGAUACUGGCGGGCUCGAGGCCGGUAGGGGGAAGUGGAAUUCCCGGUGUAGUGGUGGAAUGCGUAGAUAUCGGGAGGAACACCAGUGGCGAAGGCGGCUACCUGGACCAGCACUGACACUGAGGCACGAAAGCGUGGGGAGCAAACAG